UCAUACGACCGUACCGCAAACCGACACUGGUGCGCGAGAUGAGUAUUCUAAGGCGCUUGAGAAACUCAGGAGAAGGAACUCGGCAAAUUGACACCGUAACUUCGGAAGAAGGUGUGCCCUAUUAGUGUGUAGUGAACAACGGAGCAUGAAUGGGUUGCAAAAAAUCGGUGGCUGCGACUGUUUAUUAAAAACACAGCACUCUGCAAACACGAAAGUGGACGUAUAGGGUGUGACGCCUGCCCGGUGCUGGAAGAUUAAAUGAUGGGGUGCGAGCUCUUGAUUGAAGUCCCAGUAAACGGCGGCCGUAACAAUAACGGUCCUAAGGUAGCGAAAUUCCUUGUCGGGUAAGUUCCGACCUGCACGAAUGGCGUAACGAUGGCCACACUGUCUCCUCCUGAGACUCAGCGAAGUUGAAAUGUUUGUGAUGAUGCAAUCUCCCCGCGGAAAGACGGAAAGACCCCAUGAACCUUUACUGUAGCUUUGUAUUGGACUUUGAACAGAUCUGUGUAGGAUAGGUGGGAGGCUUUGAAGCAGGGUCGCUAGAUCUUGUGGAGCCAACGUUGAAAUACCACCCUGGUGUGUUUGAGGUUCUAACCUAGGUCCAUUAUCUGGAUCGGGGACAGUGUAUGGUAGGCAGUUUGACUGGGGCGGUCUCCUCCCAAAGCGUAACGGAGGAGUUCGAAGGUACGCUAGUUACGGUCGGACAUCGUGACGAUAGUGCAAUGGCAUAAGCGUGCUUAACUGCGAGACUGACAAGUCGAGCAGAUGCGAAAGCAGGACAUAGUGAUCCGGUGGUUCUGUAUGGAAGGGCCAUCGCUCAACGGAUAAAAGGUACUCUGGGGAUAACAGGCUGAUACCGCCCAAGAGUUCAUAUCGACGGCGGUGUUUGGCACCUCGAUGUCGGCUCAUCUCAUCCUGGGGCUGUAGCCGGUCCCAAGGGUAUGGCUGUUCGCCAUUUAAAGAGGUACGUGAGCUGGGUUUAAAACGUCGUGAGACAGUUUGGUCCCUAUCUUCCGUGGGCGCCGCAGAUUUGAGGAAGCCUGCUCCUAGUACGAGAGGACCGGAGUGGACACACCUCUGGUGUAUCGGUUGUCACGCCAGUGGCAUUGCCGAGUAGCUAAGUGUGGAAGAGAUAACCGCUGAAAGCAUCUAAGCGGGAAACUCGUUUCAAGAUGAGAUCUGCCGGGGCCUUGAGCCCCCUAAAGAGUCGUUCAAGACCAGGACGUUGAUAGGUCAGGUGUGGAAGCUA
rnacentral:rRNA from 1 species